AACCCCCUGAUCCAACAUGCUUACGACAUAAAAAUACUGCUGUAAUUCAUAAACUCACAAAAUACAUUUUUUUUCUAUAGAUUUGUGUGAUUUUCUAUUUUUGAAAUGCUGUGGCUAUUUCUUACACUGUAGCUUACACUGUGCCUGUAUAUGUGGCAUUAAAUAAAGGCACAUGUUAAUAACACAAUUACAAUGUAAUCAAAAAGCUAAUGUAAUAAAAAAAAAAACUGUGUUUAAUUGAGCAAGAAAAUAUGUCUUAUGUACUACCCAGAGUCAUUAAACAGAUAUAUUUUUAUUUUUCAAGCAUUUAUUUGUCAGGCUGAUUGCAGCAGUCAGGAUAAGCUCCAGAAAACAAUAAAAUAUUCAUUUUAGAGAUUGUUCAUCCUCGUUUGUGCUACCCAGGAUUAGUAAAAUCAACGUUAAAGUUGUAACUGUGACAGAUGUCAAAUGAAUUAUCACAGGGACUUCUUCUUUCAGGCACGGAGAGAGAAAAUGAAAGCUCCUGUCAGUGAAGCAAAUAGUCGACCUUUGAUCCUCCAUGAUGGCGACUUGGACAUGUGCCAUGGGGCCCUUGAUUUAAAGGGCCCUUUGUGAAGGAGAAAUAAAUAAAUAAAUAAUAAAAGAGCUAAAUACUUAUUCAAUCAGAUUUAAUAAACAAUAACAAUGUUGGGCUGAAUUUUAGAAUAGUUACUGUAUGUUUGGCGUUUAUCUUUGGCAACUAAUUAUGUGUCAGCUUGUGAUGAAAUAAAGCACACUGUAUUGAUUGUGCCAAAUGCCAAAUAUGGGAUGAAGACCAAAUUAACCCCUGGCACAGAUUCAAUUGUUGUUAUUCUGAACUAGACUCUGUUAUUCCCCGUCAACAAAAAGUCAAAUCUGAAGACCGCCCAUUAGCAGCCAAACAAAGGAGGUGCAAAUGCUGAAAAAAGCGACUAUAUGAUUUUUUUUCUUUUUUAUUUUUUGAAAAGUUGGUGAUGAGAUAAUAAUAGUCAAGCUGGAGAUACAAAAGAGAUGUUUUGGUGCCAUUAGUCAGUCAGACGGAUUAAUAUUACCACUGAAACGGAGCGAAAGAAGAAGAUUAAACACCAUAUAAAGGAAGUAUCUUUCUGUUUUUCUGUAUUAAUAUUUAUUUAUUUUAUGCUGUUAACCUUCUUCCUAUUGUCUUGCAUGAUAUAAUAUUACUUUUCUACUUUUUAUUUUUACUCUUACAUUUAUUUAAUCACCCUAACUUGUGUGGGGCUUAAAUUUGCGAUGCCUUUCUUGAUUACCAGGCAUUUGUUUGCAGUCAUUAAAACCUCAGUUAUCGUCCAACCUGGACUGGAUUUGCUAAAUUCUGAGAAAUUAUAGGAUUUGUAAAUGCAAAGCUCGACCAAAGCGCCACCUUUAUUUAGAAAAAUACAACUAUUUAAGAUUUUCUACAUUUUGUCUUGCAGUUUGAUCAAACUUAGUGGUUAUCUGCACUCUGCUGCCACUCGCAGUCCUAUUUGUAUUAGAAUGUGCUGCCAAAAAGGCCUCUGUUAUUACACUUGCUGAUGGAAAAAUAUGUGUGAAAAAAGAUCAAACACUAAUUGAAAAUAUCUUAACCUCUAUAUGGACUUUAUAAAAUAUCAAGUCAGAAAGCCAAAGCAGACACAAACCUGAAUAUUCCCUUUUGUUUUCCAUCAGUGAGAUCAGUUUUAUCAAACAUUCCCUGGUAUCAGUCACUGUUUUGUUUUUGUUUUUUCUUGUCUUAUCUGUUUUGGGGUCUUGUCCAAUGAUUCACAUUCUUCGUCAUUCCGCUUUUGUUUUGCCAAGUCGAAGCAUUUUCCUUUUUAAAGGCUCAUCUCAGAUGUUUUCAUUUCAUUUCCAGGGAAGCUGGUCAAACGAAAACAAGACGCAUCAGGGUUGCUUUGUUUUGAGAUUUCAGGUAAGACUACAGAAGAAAACUGGAGCAUCAGUUCUCAUAGCAACCAGGGAGAAAACCCUGUGCAGACAUGAGCCGUCCAGUUACACGGAGUCCUCUGGGUUCUGGCAGCAACGGGACUGACUGUUGUGUACAGAAGGAGAGCCCGAAACCUCCAGAUGAUAAUGAGAGAAAACCUAACGCGGAGGAGUACUGAGAGCUCUCAGAGUAACUGGACUGAUCCAAGAAAAUCUUACGAUACUUGGAGAACUUACUCAGCAUCUGCUUGGAACAGUGAGACAUCCUGGAAAACCAAAACCUAUAGAAUGUAGUUAGCCAUCUACAAUUUGUGUAACGUGAAUUUAAAGGACUUAUCUUUAAAAAUGACUAAAUAAAAGUAUUUAUUUAAAGACCUAAACAGUUUCUGUUAAGCUUUUUUCUUUUUUGCCUUCUUUGCAUUACAAAGAACAGCAAAACAGAAAGGAGGGAAAGCUAAAAAUAAAAGCACUUAAUUAAAAGUGCAAAAUGAAACUGCACAUUUCAGGCAUGAACGAAGAGAGUGUUUUUCACGCGAAUGAAACCCUUAACUUGACUGGAAUGUCUUCUACUUUCAGUUGUAUGUUUACCAGAAGAGCACAAGGAUGACAUCUGAGCCUGCAAUGCCGUCUUCAAGCUGCCAAGAUGAGUAUCUGCUGAGUGUUCCUCUGAAGCACAUCAAACAAAAAUCCGGGCACCAAUCAAGUUUUUCCAGAGAGGUUGCUCUAGUUCCCCCAGGAAGGCGAACGUCCAGUUUUGCGGACUUUCAAGCGAGAAUUAAUCCGAACGUGUGUGACAGCUGCCAGCCUGUCGGUACAACAAAUAUCUCAGGUUUUUCCUGAUGAAUGGGAUCCUAAACAGAUCUGGAAUUCAGUGUGUUUUAAAUAUAUUCUCAUUAAAUGCUUCCGUAUAUGUAUGAAGAUGAUGAUGAAAGAAAAUGAAUAAAAUGUGUGGUUUUAGAAGAAA